GUGACAUCCGUGCGUACCUUGCAAGUCUUGAUAUCAUGCAGAGCUACUACCCGGAAAGGCUUGGCAAAGUAUUUCUGAUCCAUGUGCCUUAUAUCUUCAUGAAGGCAUGGAAGAUUAUAUACCCACUUAUUGACAAAAACACCAAGAAAAAGUUUGUGUUUGUUGAUGAUAAGAAGCUGAAAGAAACACUGUUGGAGGACAUAGAUGAGAGCCAGCUCCCGGAGAUAUAUGGUGGCAAG
rnacentral:misc_RNA from 1 species